UCGAACGGCAGCGCGGGGCAACCUGGCGGCGAGUGGCGAACGGGUGUAGUAAUAUAUCGGAACGUACCCAAGAGUGGGGGAGAACGUAUCGAAAGUUACGCUAAUACCGCAUACGAUCUAAGGAUGAAAGUGGGGGAUCUUCGGACCUCAUGCUCCUGGAGCGGCCGAUAUCUGAUUAGCUAGUUGGUGAGGUAAAGGCUCACCAAGGCGACGAUCAGUAGCUGGUCUGAGAGGACGACCAGCCACACUGGGACUGAGACACGGCCCAGACUCCUACGGGAGGCAGCAGUGGGGAAUUUUGGACAAUGGGCGCAAGCCUGAUCCAGCAAUGCCGCGUGAGUGAAGAAGGCCUUCGGGUUGUAAAGCUCUUUUGUCAGGGAAGAAACGGUCUCAGCUAAUAUCUGGGGCUAAUGACGGUACCUGAAGAAUAAGCACCGGCUAACUACGUGCCAGCAGCCGCGGUAAUACGUAGGGUGCAAGCGUUAAUCGGAAUUACUGGGCGUAAAGCGUGCGCAGGCGGUUUUGUAAGUCUGUCGUGAAAGCCCCGGGCUUAACCUGGGAAUUGCGAUGGAGACUGCAAGGCUUGAAUCUGGCAGAGGGGGGUAGAAUUCCACGUGUAGCAGUGAAAUGCGUAGAGAUGUGGAGGAACACCGAUGGCGAAGGCAGCCCCCUGGGUCAAGAUUGACGCUCAUGCACGAAAGCGUGGGGAGCA
rnacentral:rRNA from 1 species